GACGAACGCUGGCGGCGUGCUUAACACAUGCGAGUCGAACGGUGAAGCCCCAGCUUGCUGGUGUGGGUCAGUGGAGAACGGGUGUGUAACACGUGUGCAACCUGCCCCUGACUCUGGUAUACGCGCUGAAAACGGCGUCUAACACUGGAUACGAGAAGGGUCCGCGUGGGCACUUUCUGGAUAGUUUUUCGGAUGGGGAUGGGCUCGCGUCAUAGCAGGUUGUUGGUGAGGUAAUGUAUCACCGAGGCGACGACGGGUAGCCCGCCUGAGAGGGAGACCGGCAUCGCUGGGACGGAGAGACGGCCAAGACUCCUGCGGGAGGCAGCAGUGGGGAAUAUUGCACAAGGGGCGAAAGCAUGAUGCAGCGACGCCGCGGGAGGGAUGGCGGCCUGGGGGUUGUAAACCUCUUUCAGCAGGGAAGAAGCGAAAGUGACGGUACCUGCAGAAGAAGCACCGGCUAACUACGUG
rnacentral:rRNA from 1 species